AUCGGGAAGAACACCAGUGGCGAAGGCGCUCUGCUGGGCCAUCACUGACGCUCAUGGACGAAAGCCAGGGGAGCGAAAGGGAUUAGAUACCCCUGUAGUCCUGGCCGUAAACGAUGAACACUAGGUGUCGGGGGAAUCGACCCCCUCGGUGUCGUAGCCAACGCGUUAAGUGUUCCGCCUGGGGAGUACGCACGCAAGUGUGAAACUCAAAGGAAUUGACGGGGGCCCGCACAAGCGGUGGAGUAUGUGGUUUAAUUCGAUGCAACGCGAAGAACCUUACCAGGGUUUGACAUCCUGCGAAUCUCUUGGAAACAGGAGAGUGCCUUCGGGAACGCAGUGACAGGUGGUGCAUGGCUGUCGUCAGCUCGUGUCGUGAGAUGUUGGGUUAAGUCCCGCAACGAGCGCAACCCACGUCUUUAGUUGCCAGCAUUUAGUUGGGCACUCUAGAGAGACUGCCGGUGAUAAACCGGAGGAAGGUGUGGAUGACGUCAAGUCAUCAUGCCCCUUACAUCCUGGGCUACACACGUACUACAAUGCUACGGACAAAGGGCAGCAAGUUCGCGAGGACAAGCAAAUCCCAUAAACCGUGGCUCAGUUCAGAUCGUAGGCUGCAACUCGCCUACGUGAAGGCGGAAUCGCUAGUAAUCGCAGGUCAGCAUACUGCGGUGAAUACGUUCCCGGGCCUUGUACACACCGCCCA
rnacentral:rRNA from 1 species